rnacentral:rRNA from 1 species
CGAGCGAACAGACGAGGAGCUUGCUCCUCUGACGUUAGCGGCGGACGGGUGAGUAACACGUGGAUAACCUACCUAUAAGACUGGGAUAACUUCGGGAAACCGGAGCUAAUACCGGAUAAUAUAUUGAACCGCAUGGUUCAAUAGUGAAAGACGGUUUUGCUGUCACUUAUAGAUGGAUCCGCGCCGCAUUAGCUAGUUGGUAAGGUAACGGCUUACCAAGGCAACGAUGCGUAGCCGACCUGAGAGGGUGAUCGGCCACACUGGAACUGAGACACGGUCCAGACUCCUACGGGAGGCAGCAGUAGGGAAUCUUCCGCAAUGGGCGAAAGCCUGACGGAGCAACGCCGCGUGAGUGAUGAAGGUCUUCGGAUCGUAAAACUCUGUUAUUAGGGAAGAACAAAUGUGUAAGUAACUAUGCACGUCUUGACGGUACCUAAUCAGAAAGCCACGGCUAACUACGUGCCAGCAGCCGCGGUAAUACGUAGGUGGCAAGCGUUAUCCGGAAUUAUUGGGCGUAAAGCGCGCGUAGGCGGUUUUUUAAGUCUGAUGUGAAAGCCCACGGCUCAACCGUGGAGGGUCAUUGGAAACUGGAAAACUUGAGUGCAGAAGAGGAAAGUGGAAUUCCAUGUGUAGCGGUGAAAUGCGCAGAGAUAUGGAGGAACACCAGUGGCGAAGGCGACUUUCUGGUCUGUAACUGACGCUGAUGUGCGAAAGCGUGGGGAUCAAACAGGAAUAGAUACCCUGGUAGUC